rnacentral:misc_RNA from 1 species
GAUGGAAGAACGCAGCGAAAUGCGAUAAGUAGUGUGAAUUGCAGAAUUCAGUGAAUCAUCGAAUCUUUGAACGCACAUUGCGCCCCAUGGUAUUCCGUGGGGCAUGCCUGUUCGAGCGUCAUUUACCCCCUCAAGCUCCGCUUGGUGUUGGGCGUCUGUCCCGCUUCGCGCGCGGACUCGCCCCAAAGGUAUUGGCAGCGGUCGUGCCAGCUUCUCGCGCAGCACAUUGCGCUUCUCGAGGCACCGGUGGGCCCGCGUCCAUCAAGCUCACCCCCCCAGUUUGACCUCGGAUCAGGUAGGGAUACCCGCUGAACUUAAGCAUAUCAAUAAGCGGAGGA